rnacentral:rRNA from 1 species
AGUGUGUUGCUAGUCAGUGAUUCCAGUAACCGACGAUACUUCAGCCUGACUAAAUAGUCACGUUGCUCGCCAGCGGCGACUUUUAGAGGAACUAUGCGACUAGCCAAUGGAAGCAUGAGCAAAUAACAGGUCUGUGAUGCCUUAGAUGUUGUGGGCCGCACGCGCGCUACACUGAUGCAUUCAACGAGCCUAGCUUGGCCGAGAGGCCCGGGUAAAUCUUUUGAAAACUGCAUCGUGAUGGGGAUAGAUUUAUUGCAAAUUUAUUUAAUUCUUUCAAACGAGGAAAUGCCUAGUAAGCGCAAAGUCAUUCAAGCUUUUAAUUCAUAUACUAGAAGCUGCAGAAGCCAGGCCGCAAAAAGGGGUCACCCUGCUUAGUCCCGGGAAGCAAAUGUCUUGGGGGUUAGUGUCCCAGGCCCACACCAUGGUUCUGGGCGCACCACCCUGUGACUAGCACCCCAGGGCGACACCCUCAAAUUGCCUGGAAGUCCCGUCAAAGCCACCGGUACCGUUUCUCAGCUGGAAACACUGAGUUACACCGCGGUGAAAAAUCGUGGGCAUGGUAACAACCCGGUGGGACUAGGGAUAAUGGGCAGCCAAGCCCUAAGGGAGGUGCCCAAACCUCCUACGGGUGCAGUUCACAGACUAAACGGG